ensembl:misc_RNA Metazoa_SRP Metazoan signal recognition particle RNA
GCUGGGUGCGGUGGCUCACGCCUGUAAUCCCAGCGUAUUGGGAGGCUGAGGCAAGAGGAUCGUGUUAGCUCAGGAGUUCUGGGCUGCAUUGAGCUGUGAUUGUGCCACUGCACUCCAGCCUUGGCAACAGAGCGAGACCCUGUCUCUU